AACAUUUUAGGGCUUUUGCGACGCUUUGUAUUCCCGACGGUUUCAAAACCGUUGUAUAAAGUGUGUUUCUUGACGCUUUUGAAACUUAUCUCGACACAUAAACACAGUCAAGUAAAAGUAAUUCUUGACGCUUUUAAAAAUGUUCUCAGACGCUUAAAAACCGUCAACAAAAAUAAAUUAUAUAAUAUAUAAAUUAUUAAUCUCUAACGUUAUUAACAUCACUUUUUUCUCACAAUUUUUCAUUUAUAAUCAGACCGAUACAAUCUCCCUCUAACCUUUGAUUAGGGCUUUUCUCUGAAUAAUGAACUUCUCUUCGACGCCGUACCUCCGCCGCCGCGUCCGCCUCCGCCUCGCCAUUGCCGCUAAUGCCGAGCCGACAUCUCCGUUGCUAUUUCUUCCCUCAUUAUCGAACUAAUCAUUGUGAAAUUACAAAUUGAAAAAGGCGAAAAUCCUUCAACACUGCAGUUGUUUUGAAUCACCCGUGGAUUGCGUGACAGGAUGCUUUGGAAUAAUUUGGUUACUGAAAUACUUGUGCAAUCUUCCCCGAGACCAAAUGGUGAGCAAAGGAAAAGUAUCAGCCACUACACUAAACAGAUUCUUGUUUCUCUAUGGUACUGCAGAAGGAGGCCUUUCGAAUAUCAACACGGUUUCGUUUCUCUCCCAAGAACAAUAAUUUUUUAAUUUCUGGUUAUGGCUAAAUAUAUAUUUCAAGAGAGUUAACAUUCUGAGAAAUAAUUGAAUGUAAAACGUAAGCACAAGCCUGUAACAUAACCUUUUGACUUAUUUGACAUUAUUUUUGGAUGAUAAUGAUUCAUAUUAUUAGCAGUUAAGUUAAUAUGUGACCAUGUAAGUGGAAAAUCAAGAGGAUACAAAUUUGUGCAUUACUCUUCUGAGAUGAUGGGUUGCCAGGUAUGCUUGAUUAUUCAGAUUUUAGAUUCAUUUUUUCUUCCUCAACUUCAUUAGAUUUCUCUGUCUGUGUUGUUUGUUUUUUGUAGUUGCUGGAUGGCAGAAAAUAUAGGCAUUUUUUAUGGCCACGAAGAGCGAAAGCAAUUAAGUCAGGGAGGACUUGCCCUUGUUCUGUUCUUGGAAUGAGUUAAUUUUAUUCAGCCUUGCUACCUAAUUUCAAAGUUUUAAUGCUGACUGCUACUUUAUCACUGACAACUAUAUGAUGAGCUUUACAGAUUAGGGGAUUAACAUCAAAGAUUGGCAGCAAUAAAGGGCCUGCUCUAUUGUAUCGAAAUGUUCUGUUUCACCUAGUAAAGUUAUUGGAUUGCUAGUGACAUAUAUGCUUAUAUCCAGGUUAGGUUAGCAUCGUAAUUGUGGAUUAGCAUUGUAAUUGUGGGUUGCAACAUUCUUCGCCGAUAUAUCAGAAAAACUACAGCGCGUAAAGUGCAUGAAGCCUGACAAGUACUAAGCUAUGGAAUAGAUGAUUGGAAAAGUGUAAAUUAACUUUACGUUGUAGAUAUAUAUAUAAUUUUAAACCAUUGGAUAAAUAAUAAGUUUUGAGUAUUUAGUAAUAUAAAGAAUUUCAAAUUUGGAUGUAAUUAGUGAUAGGUUUUGUGAAUGAAAUUGGGAUUAUGUAUUCUUAAAAUAUAGAAUUCGUGUUUGGAAUAAUUACAAUUCAUUUUUUA